AAAAAAAAAAAAGAAGCAAUAGUUCACAUUAAAUCAAAUUUUAUUUAAUUAAAUAAGAAAAGGGAGAUAAAAAUACUAAAUCUUUAAAUGAAUCUCAAAAAUCCCCUUCUCUCUCCUCUUUCUUCUUCCCAGUCGAUACCCCUCUUUCUUCUUCCCAAUCGAUACCCCUCUUUCUUUUCCUCUCUCGCAUUUCAGUCGGCCAGACCAGAUGAGCCAUCUCCGGCCACCACCCAAUGACACGCACCCCACCACGAGCUUCCUUGGCCCCCGAAACCCCCAACCCAUGAAGCUCGCCUCCCCACUCGCUGGCCUCCGUCGCGAUUGGCUCCCCGAAGUUCCGUCGCCGCUGUGAGUUUGGAGGAUUGUUCUGGCCUCCACCGUGGACGAUGAAGGCUCCUGCUGGCGACGACGAUGGGGAAGGCGACAGCGAAGGCUCCUGAGCUGGUGAAGUUCUCAGGCGUGGGUGGUGCUGCCACUCUCUUCAAGACGAUUAUUGAUGGAGUCUCUUCUUCUUCUUCUCUUGGUGGUCAUAACAUCGCUCCAUGAAAGUAGCUACGCAGAGAAUACGAGACCUGUUGUGUGUUCUUCUUCAUCAUGUGGUAGUAUCUCUAAUAUAAAAUCUCAUUUCCGACUCACCACUGAUCCAUUGAGCUGUGGAGACUUAAGGUACAAUCUUUCUCGUGAGAACAACAUUACAGUCUUAAACUUGCCUAUUCAACAUGGAUACACAAAUAAAUUUAAUUAUCAAAGAUACUACGUACUGGCAAUCAACUAUAACAACUAUAUGAUUCGAAUUGUUGAUCCCAAUUUUCACAAACUUCAUCAAAACUACUCAUCCUUCUUCACCAACAAUACUUUGUCCUCUGGAGAUUUCAGAUUAUAUGAUAGUUAUGAAGCACGAUUUGCUUUGGACACAGGAACAUAUAGUAUUUUUCAUGAAAAGUACCGAAAAGUUACGAAAACUCUAGUGUUGGUUAACUAUGAAAGAGUAGUGAAGAAUUCUUCUUACAUUGAUGCAACUCCUUGCAUAUUAAAGAGUAAUAAUAGCAGUUUUAUUUGGUCUUAUUAUCUAUUGGAUAUUGCUGAAAUGAGUCCUUCUGAGUUGGAGGAGUCCUGUUGGGUACAACAAGUGAGUCUCGUAGAUGAAACAAGCUUUCAAGGAUCCAAACCUUCCUGUUAUGCAUCAACAAGCAGCUAGCUCUAGGGUUUCAACUUUCAUGGAUCCAAAGCUUUGACAAAACAGAAGAGAUUCGACAAAUUUGUCGCCUCAACGAAAAGUCCAACAAAGUUAGUUGUAGUUAUUAUUUUUCUACAUGCAUAUUUAGAGAAACGUUCAGACCAAAUGAAAGAAAUCAAAAGUGUGGUAAGGAUAUUACCAGCAAUAAUUGAGAAUAAUGUUUUGAACAUAUAUAUUAACAAUACUGAUUUGUUGCAAUUUUUUUUUAUGAUGCAGACUCGUCCGAAAUAUUUUUGAGCAAUGUUAUGUUUUUGCACAAAAUGUAAGGGAAAAUUAUUGUUUAAUCUAACAUUUAUAGUUCGAAAUAUAUUUAUAGUGUAUGUGUUUUCCUAAUCCUUUUAUGGUUUUCUUUUUGUUUCUAAGCAGAUUACUUAUGCGAUAUAGGAAGGUACAUAUAUAUUGGUAAGAUUACAUUUCAUUCAGAUAUAGUUUUCAUAGUUUUCAUAUUUAUUACUUAUUGUUUCAUAUUUUAUUUAUUUUCCCAGCCGGAUUCUUGGCAGCAAUAAGAACACUACCUGGAUUUUCAUGGACUGCUGCAUCACAUUUUUUCCUUUGUUAUUUCCUAUAAUCUUAACAUUUGACCGUCUAAUUAACAAUUAAGUUGAUUAUAGAAUUUUAAAUAACAUGACUUAGGGUAAUAACAUGAUAUGGAACAUACAUCUAACUUUUUUAUUUUUUAUAAUGUUGAUAAUAAUGUUUAGGUUAAUAUUUUGACUGGUCUUGAAGCAUUGGAUCGGUAGCUAAUUACAAGAGGGAUGAUUUUAGAAAAAAAUUCAUGGCAGCCAAUCCUUACUUUGGAAAGGCAGUGAGGAGGGUGAGUACAAGGACAAGAAGAAGAAAUAUAUGUUGUUUGACAAUGAAUUUAGUGUUUUAUUAUAUUUGUAAUUUUUAUUAGAGUAAAUGAUUCUUGUUUGAAUGGUUAAUUAUUUACUUUGUAAAUCUAGUUAUAUAUUUUUUAAGGUCAAGACGAUUAUAAUUUUAAUAAGUUUUGUUAUUUUAAUCUAUAAAUUUUUAGAUUAA